GGAAUAUUGCGCAAUGGGCGAAAGCCUGACGCAGCAACGCCGCGUGAGGGAUGAAGGCCUUCGGGUUGUAAACCUCUUUUAGCAGGGAAGAAGCGAAAGUGACGGUACCUGCAGAAAAAGCACCGGCUAACUACGUGCCAGCAGCCGCGGUAGUACGUAGGGUGCAAGCGUUAUCCGGAAUUAUUGGGCGUAAAGAGCUCGUAGGCGGUUUGUCGCGUCUGCUGUGAAAAUCUGAGGCUCAACCUCGGACUUGCAGUGGGUACGGGCAGACUAGAGUGCAGUAGGGGAGAAGGGAAUUCCUGGUGUAGCGGUGGAAUGCGCAGAUAUCAGGAGGAACACCAAUGGCGAAGGCACUUCUCUGGGCUGUAACUGACGCUGAGGAGCGAAAGCGUGGGGAGCGAACAGGAUUAGAUACCCUGGUAGUCCACGCCGUAAACGUUGGGCGCUAGAUGUGGGUCACAUUCCACGUGAUCCGUGUCGCAGCUAACGCAUUAAGCGCCCCGCCUGGGGAGUACGGCCGCAAGGCUAAAACUCAAAGGAAUUGACGG
rnacentral:rRNA from 1 species